GCCUGGGUGGCUCAGGCAGUUGAGCAUCUGACUUCAGCUCAGGUCAUGAUCUGACAGUUCGUGGGUUCAAACCCCGCCUCAGACU
rnacentral:tRNA from 1 species